CUUUAACUCUGGCGGCAUGCUUUACACAUGCAAGUCGAACGGCAGCGCGGGCUUCGGCCUGGCGGCGAGUGGCGAACGGGUGAGUAAUGCAUCGGAACGUGCCCAGUAGUGGGGGAUAGCCCGGCGAAAGCCGGAUUAAUACCGCAUACGACCUGAGGGUGAAAGCGGGGGACCGAAAGGCCUCGCGCUAUUGGAGCGGCCGAUGUCGGAUUAGCUAGUUGGUGGGGUAAAGGCUUACCAAGGCGACGAUCCGUAGCUGGUCUGAGAGGACGACCAGCCACACUGGGACUGAGACACGGCCCAGACUCCUACGGGAGGCAGCAGUGGGGAAUUUUGGACAAUGGGGGCAACCCUGAUCCAGCCAUGCCGCGUGCGGGAAGAAGGCCUUCGGGUUGUAAACCGCUUUUGUUCGGGAAGAAAUCCUCUGGGCCAAUACCCCGGGGGGAUGACGGUACCGGAAGAAUAAGCACCGGCUAACUACGUG
rnacentral:rRNA from 1 species